GUUGUCAUGCCAAUGGCACUGCCCGGUAGCUAAAUGCGGAAGAGAUAAGUGCUGAAAGCAUCUAAGCACGAAACUUGCCCCGAGAUGAGUUCUCCCUGAGACUUUAAGUCUCCUGAAGGAACGUUAAAGACGAUGACGUUGAUAGGCCGGGUGUGUAAGCGCAGCGAUGCGUUGAGCUAACCGGUACUAAUGAACCGUGAGGCUUAACCUUACAACGCCGAAG
rnacentral:rRNA from 1 species